rnacentral:rRNA from 1 species
UACGGAGGGUGCAAGCGUUGUCCGGAAUCACUGGGCGUAAAGGGCGCGUAGGCGGCUCAUGAAGGCUGUGGUGAAAGUCCGGGGCUCAACCUCGGAUCGGCCGUGGCGACUCGUGGGCUGGAGCACUGUAGAGGCGGGUGGAAUUCCGGGUGUAGCGGUGGAAUGCGUAGAGAUCCGGAAGAACACCAGUGGCGAAGGCGCCCGCUGGGCAGUGGCUGACGCUGAGGCGCGACAGCGUGGGGGAGC